ACUCCCUGGCAGUGGACAAAGAUACACCUUGUUGUUGGUGUUGCUCUUACAUCAGUCAGAGGCAGGGCACGUGGCAAUCCCUGCUUCAUCCUAGCUUAAUACUUAGUUUAGAGGCCAAAGCUAUCUUAUGCUUAGGAUUCAUUA